rnacentral:lncRNA from 1 species
CGCUAUUUAGGGUCUAGGCAAGGGAAGGGCUAGAGGAAGAAACACCUCCUUGGUAGACCAGAUGAACCUUGGUUGGCAUCUGAGUCAGGUCAUGGAUAGCAAAAUGCCAGCCCUGCUGAGUCCCUUCGCAACAGUGUGCUCACCAAGUGCACGAAUGCCUGGCAUCAUCAGACUGGGUGGUGAGCAGAUGACACUCUGAGUGACAGUCUCAGUGGGCGAUUUUCCUUGCACGAUGCAGGCAGGUACUGUAGUAUAAGAUGGUUUGAG